AUAUCAGUGUAGGGGUUUGUUGUGCAGU
rnacentral:piRNA from 1 species